rnacentral:lncRNA from 1 species
AUGGUGAAGGCUAGAGCGGGAGAGACGGAUCUGGUUUCAGAACUCUCUGCACGGAGGACUCCCAGCCAGGUGCUGGGCAGCCACGUCCCAGGAAGAAAUUUCUACCAGGAUUCACGGAGGAGGAGAGCAUUGUGUGAGCACACUGGCGAGAGAACCUGGCCUCUGCCUCACACACAGCCAGGCCCUGAGCUCAGCACCCGGGAGGACCCCGCUGCCGCCUCUUCCCGGGCGGCUGUCAGCUGCCAGGGUACAGCCCUGCGGGCACCUGGACGCCACCUGGCCAGGACACAUGGCAGGAGCUCCACUGCCUCCUCUCCUCUCCUCCACAGGGGAGGUGUGGGGAAAGCAGUCAAGCCCGCGGUGAUUGUGAGGGGCUCUGCUGGAAUUUGGCAGUGCGAAGCCUUGGAGCGCAGCCCCAUGCUGGCUCCUAUUCAGCGGCCGGUUCCCCUCCAGCUCUGGAAGUUUCACUCAGCCGUGCACUCAAUGGCUCCACAAAGCUGAUUACAAGCUUCAGCGCAUUCCUGAAGGAGCCAAAGCGACGCAGGUGCAAACGAGCCGAGGGAGCCCCUUAUCCCGGUGACAGAAUGGGACAAGCUGGGAAAGGCGCGGACCACACAAAUCCAGGCUCACCAGGCAGCAGAAAGCCUGCCUUGGGAACCGGGGUCUUCGUCGACCU